rnacentral:tRNA from 1 species
GCGCAGGUAGCUCAGUCGGUAGAGCAGGGGACUGAAAAUCCCCGUGUCCCCGGUUCGACUCCGGGCCUGCGCA